rnacentral:rRNA from 1 species
AGCGAACGCUGGCGGCAGGCCUAACACAUGCAAGUCGAACGAACCUUUCGGGGUUAGUGGCGGACGGGUGAGUAACACGUGGGAACGUGCCUUUAGGUUCGGAAUAACUCAGGGAAACUUGUGCUAAUACCGAAUGUGCCCUUCUGGGGAAAGAUUUAUCGCCGUUAGAGCGGCCCGCGUCUGAUUAGCUAGUUGGUUGAGGUAAUGGCUCACCAAGGCGACGAUCAGUAGCUGGUCUGAGAGGAUGAUCAGCCACAUUGGGACUGAGACACGGCCCAAAAUCCUACGGGAGGCAGCAGUGGGGAAUCUUGCGCAAUGGGCGAAAGCCUGACGCAGCCAUGCCGCGUGAAUGAUGAAGGUCUUAGGAUUGUAAAAUUCUUUCACCGGGGACGAUAAUGACGGUACCCGGAGAAGAAGCCCCGGCUAACUUCGUG